CCUACGGGAGGCAGCAGUAGGGAAUUUUCGGCAAUGGGGGGAACCCUGAACGAGCAACGCCGCGUGAACGAAGAAGUUCUUCGUAAUGUAAAGUUCUUUUAACAGGGAAGAAAGAUAAAUUUGACGGUACCUGACGAAUAAGCUCCGGCUAACUACGUGCCAGCAGCCGCGGUAAUACGUAGGGAGCGAGCGUUAUCCGUAAUUAUUGGGCGAAAAGGGUGCGUAGAUGGCAUAGUAAGUCUUUUGUAAAAAUGCUGGGCUCAACCCAGUAGGGCAAAAGAUACUGCAAAGCUAGAGUAUGACUGAGGCAAGUGGAACUACAUGUGUAGCGGUAAAAUGCGUAAAUAUAUGUAAGAACACCAGUGGCGAAGGCGGCUUGCUGGGUCGAUACUGACAUUGAGGCACGAAAGCGUGGGGAGCAAACAGGAUUAGAUACCCCAGUAGUC
rnacentral:rRNA from 1 species